rnacentral:lncRNA from 1 species
AAUAAUCCUGUGUGAUGCAUGCACCGUACGCGAGAUUUUUCGUCCACUGAUAUGCUGCCACGUCACCAUCAACAGUACAUAAGAAUUUUAGUCCAACAGGAUCGUGACACCUCAUCAGUCAAUGCCACAUCAUCGGUCAAUGCCACGUCAUCAUCCGUCUAUGUGAACAGUGUCGUGAACAGUAACGUAUACAGUAUCGUACACGUGAAUAGUACCGUACAUGUGAAUAGUGCCAUUUUUCCUUUUAUGCUCCUCCUAAGGUUUUCGACCGUCCUGAGUUCAAAAGUGAUGUCCGUUUUGCCGUCUGAUCUCUCCUUUAUUGUGAAAUGACUAUAAUGCCCCUAAAAUACAUAAAUUACUUAAUUAAAAUAACACACACGUAAUUACAUCACAAGAAGGUUAAAUACAUAAAAGUAAGGGUUGUUAGUAAGACUUGAAAUGUAAAAUGACGGUUUUCUCCUUUAUAAAUAUGCAUUUUCUAACACUCAACAAAUAGCAUUGGUUUUAUGCACUGGGAAAUAUUUAUUCAAAAAUUUAGUUACCAUUUGUUCCCAUGAUGCAAUGCUAUUGGCAGGCAAUGUAUUAAGCCAUGAACGAGCUCUAUCCUUUAAAGAAAAUGGAAAUAAUCUGAGUUUAACAUCAUCGUCUGAAAAAUUCUCGUAUUUAAAAGUUUGACAAAUAGCAUGAAAAUCAUUCAGAUGAUUAUAUGGGUCCUCAUUUUCUAAGCCAUAGAAUGUGGGGAGACAAUUUAGCACACUAGGUUUUAGUUCAAAGCUCCUAGCAACUACAUUUAGGUAUCUUAUGCAUGAUGUGCUCAAAUUAGCUAAGGGACUGAAGUAAUCCUUAAAUGGCCUCUCCUGUGGUUGCAAAUCCAUUUUAUUUUUAAUUUGUUUGUGUGUGCGAAGUGUUCUUUCUAGUUCAAGGUCUAUAGGUUCAAGAUUAGGUAAUAAUGACCUACGACCAUGCAUGCAAAACAAAUAAAAUAAAAAUAAAGAUAGGAACAAAACAAGUAAAAAUAAAGAAGAGGGAGAAAUGACAAUAAUAACCUUAUUGCGCUAUUAUAACCUUACUAAAAAAAAUACACAAAAACAAAUACGUGAAAUAAAUUAACUAAAAAUUAAAUUAAUAAAAUAAAAAAAUAAAAAAAAAUAAAAAUUACAAAGAAAAAUAAAUUGAAAAUUAAAUCACAUAAUUUUAAAGAAGAGAAAAAGAAAAGAAAUACUAACCUUUAAAUGUAGAUUCACUUUUUUUCUUUUUUUUUUUAAUUAAAAAAAAUAGAAGAAAACAAAUAAAAGAAAUUAUUAAAAAAAAUUUAAUUCUAUGAAUUAAAAUUACUUACCUCCCCGGCAACGGCGCCAAAAACUUGUUGUGCAAAUUUUAAUGUACUCGCAAGCGCACGAAUCUAUUGUAGUAUAGACUAAUGGUGACGAGUGUCGAUCCCACGAGGAGGUGGAGUUUAAUUGUGUAUAGAAUUAAUUUUGUAAAUGGGUUGUUGGAUUUAUGGUGGAAAUGAUUUGGAAUAUGCUAAAACUUAAAUUAAAAUGGCGAGAAUAAAUUCUAAAAUUGGAAUUGAAAUGGCGAGAAUAAAUUCUAAAAUUGGUAUUGAAAUGGCGAGAAUAAAUUGACGAGAAUUAUAUUGAAAUGACGUACUUGGGUAUCUGGAUCCGUAUCAACAUGCAUCAUGGGCUAAAUAUUCCUUAUUAAUGCCAAUUAAAUCAUGAGGGGGGAAUCCACACCUCAUGAACCACGCUCUAAUCAAUAUGGUGCUAAGGGCUUAUCGUGCCAAAUAAUAAUAACCUUGUACUAGAGGGCCGGUGAAACCAAGGCGGUACUAGACAAGAUUAGUAUUAUUUGUCGACGAGAAGUCAAAACAUCCACAAAAACUAGAGGAGAAGAGAAAAUAAAUUUACCAAAUUAAGCCCAUGACACAUGUUGAGACUUCACCUUCAACCCAAGCUUGAAAGAAAAUUAGCCACUCAUAAUUGAACUAAGGGCAAAAUGGGAAUUUAUUAAAAUAUGAAGAAAAUACAAGAUGGAGAGGGAAUUACAGAAAAUGGAUCCCAAAAAUGGAUUCAGAGAUAUCAAAUUAGGGGGGAGAGGCCCCAUUUUUAUAGAUACAUGGAGUAAAUCAUGGCCAUCGGAUUAAAAACAGUUUGGACGCUCAGGAUUGCGCCACGUCAUCAGUUAACAGUCCACGGUUUGACCACGCGGAUGAACAGUAACACGGUUUGACCCGACUUUGAAUAGUAACGCGGUUUGACCCGGAUGAACAGUAACGCGGUUUGGUUGAAAAUAAUCCUGUGUGAUGCAUACACCGUACGCGAGAUUUUUCGUCCACUGAUAUGCUGCCACGUCACCAUCAUAAGAAUUUUAGUCCAACAGGAUUGUGACACCUCAUCAGUCAUUGCCACAUCAUCGGUCAAUGCCACGUCAUCGAUCCGUCUAUGUGAACAGUGCCGUGAACAGUAACGUAUACAGUCCCGUAUACGUGAAUAGUACCGUACAUGUGAAUAGUAUCAUUUUUCCUUUUAUGCUCCUCCUAAGGUUUUCGACCGUCCUGAGUUCAAAAGUGAUGUCCGUUUUGCCGUCUGAUCUCUCUUUUAUUGUGAAAUGACUAUAAUGCCCCUAAAAUACAUAAAUUACUUAAUUAAAAUAAAACACACGUAAUUAAAUCACAAGAAUGUUAAAUACAUAAAAGUAAGGGUUGUUAGUAAGACUUGAAAUGUAAAAUGAUGGUUUUCUCCUUUAUAAAUAUGCAUUUUCUAACACUCAACACUGAGGCUGUGAGCUACACAAGUACUUAAUAAAUUGGUUUCCUUAAACUGCAAUUAAAGGUAAAACUCUGAAAAUGUGGCCUGGAAAGCAUGCACAAGACUAUGAUUCCAUUCAUGUGUUUGAGUGUCCAACUUAUUAUCAUGUAAAGAAUGAUAAGUUUGAUCCUCGUGCAAGAAAAACUAUCUUUGUGGGAUUUAGAGGUACAGUUAAAGGCUACAAGUUAUAAGAUCUUGAAGAUAAAAAGUUUGUGUAUAUCAAAGAUGUCACUUUUGAUGAAUCCUCUAUGCUAAAGGCUUCAAGUUUCCAACAACUGGAGAACAAGACCAAUAAGACAUUGCAGCGGGUGGAGUUUGAUGUAACUUCAUAUGUACCAGUUAGUUCUAUAUCAGUGAAGAUUUCAACUUUGGAGGAGACCCCAAUAGUAGAAGAAGAAGUUGAACUUAAUGUGUAUCUAAGGUUGUUUGCCUUUUCUUUGUUCCAAAAUUGAACUUGUUCUCGUCCUUAAUUUGUAUACACCAUGCACUAGACAAGAAUUUAGGUCUUUAGCGACCAAAUUUUUAGCAACGAAUUUUUUCUUGUCACCCUAGGUAUGUUUUAGCGAUGAAAAAAUAAUUUCAUUUCAAAAUAUGUAAGAAAUAAUUAACAUUUAUUUCAAGUUUUUAGUGAUGAAUUUUUAGAGACAAAUUUCUUUUUCAUUUCUAAAUAUGUAUUUUGAGCAAUAGAAUUUCGCUUUCGUCCCUAAUUAUAUAUUUUUAGCAAUGCAAUUGUAAGUCUAUCGCUGAAAAUAUUCGUUUAAGUCAAACUUUUGAUCAUUUUGCGACAUCUAAAUUUGAUUGCUAAACGUAUACUUUUAGUGACGAAAUCUAAAUUUCAUUGCCGAAAAGAUUCAUUUAAAUAUUUAAAAUAAUGCCAAAUUUUUUGACGUUUUGAGACAAAAAUUAAAUUUUGUUGCUAAACAAGUACUUUUAGCGACGGAAUCUAAAUUUCCUCACUGAAAAUAUUCAUUUAAAAUUUUAAAACAAUGUCAAAAUUAUAGGCAUUUUGCGACCAAAAUUAUACUUUGUUGCUAAAUGUCUUUUUGCCGGUGAAAUUUAAGUUUGUUGUUGUAAGCACUCAUUUAGAUAUUUAAAAUAAUGUCAAAAUUUUAAACCUUUUGAGAUAAAAUUUAGCAUUUGUCGCUAAAUAUGUAUUUUUAGUGAUGAAAUUAUAAGUUCGUCACUGAAAAUAUUCAUUUAAGGAUUAAAAACUUGUAGUUUUCCCCCAAAAUUUAAGACUUUAGUAAUGAAAUUUAAAUUUUGUCGAUAAAUGUGCAUUUUUAGUGACGAAAUACAAAAAAAAAUUGUGAAAAUUUAAAAACUUUUAGCCAAUUAUUUUUCGCCAAAAUUUAAGACUUUUAGUGACGAAAUUUUUCAUCACAAAAUGUGUACUUUUAGCGAUAAAUUAUUAGAUUUUAUUGCUAAAUGUGUAUUUUUAGCAUUGAAAUUUAUAAAAAAAAAAUCAUUUAAAUAUCAUUUAUUUCAUUCUUUCUUUCUCUUGUUCUUUCAUUCUCUCAUUCCCUUAUUAUUUUUUUCUUUAAUUCUCUCAUCUUUAAAUAUAUAAUUCUCAUUUUCUAAUUUAAUCUCUACUUUUUUCUCUUUUAUUUUUAACAUGGUGUAAUUUUUUUUUGUUUUCACUUACCUUAUUUAUUACAUCAUAUAUUAUUAUUACGUUUGUGUUUAUUUUGUUAACUAAUUAUUGAUUUUUUAUAUGUAGGAAAUUUUGAAGAUCAAUUACACCAGGAUGAGGAAAAUAAAGAAAUUUAUAUUCAUUUGGAAAAAUGUUCUCUUAAAAAAAUAGAUAUUAAAUUUUGUAA